GUGGGGAAUAUUGGACAAUGGGCGAAAGCCUGAUCCAGCAACGCCGCGUGAGGGAUGACGGCCUUCGGGUUGUAAACCUCUUUCAGCAGGGACGAAGCGAAAGUGACGGUACCUGCAGAAGAAGGACCGGCCAACUACGUGCCAGCAGCCGCGGUAAUACGUAGGGUCCGAGCGUGGUCCGGAAUUAUUGGGCGUAAAGGGCUCGUAGGCGGUCUGUCGCGUCGGGAGUGAAAACUCAGGGCUCAACCCUGAGCGUGCUUCCGAUACGGGCAGACUAGAGGUAUGCAGGGGAGAACGGAAUUCCUGGUGUAGCGGUGGAAUGCGCAGAUAUCAGGAGGAACACCGGUGGCGAAGGCGGUUCUCUGGGCAUUACCUGACGCUGAGGAGCGAAAGCAUGGGGAGCGAACAGGAUUAGAAACCCUAGUAGUCC
rnacentral:rRNA from 1 species